GAAGUAGUCUCGUUGGUGACCAGCGGAGGGUCAUUACCGAGUUUACAACUCCCAAACCCCUGUGAACAUACCUUAAUGUUGCCUCGGCGGAUCAGCCCGCGCCCCGUAAAACGGGACGGCCCGCCAGAGGACCCAAACUCUAAUGUUUCUUAUUGUAACUUCUGAGUAAAACAAACAAAUAAAUCAAAACUUUCAACAACGGAUCUCUUGGUUCUGGCAUCGAUGAAGAACGCAGCAAAAUGCGAUAAGUAAUGUGAAUUGCAGAAUUCAGUGAAUCAUCGAAUCUUUGAACGCACAUUGCGCCCGCUGGUAUUCCGGCGGGCAUGCCUGUUCGAGCGUCAUUUCAACCCUCAAGCCCCCGGGUUUGGUGUUGGGGAUCGGCUCUGCCUUACGGCGGUGCCGCCCCCGAAAUACAUUGGCGGUCUCGCUGCAGCCUCCAUUGCGUAGUAGCUAACACCUCGCAACUGGAACGCGGCGCGGCCAUGCCGUAAAACCCCAACUUCUGAAUGUUGACCUCGGAUCAGGUAGGAAUACCCGCUGAACUUAAGCAUAUCAAAGUGGGGGAGGAAACUCGAUAGGG
rnacentral:rRNA from 1 species